rnacentral:misc_RNA from 1 species
CCGUCAAUCCGGCUUGAAUCGAAGGACAGGUCUAGGGUAGGCCAGAGUCGGGUCUAGGGUAGGCAACCCUCACCCUCGAAGUGGUCUACCCGGUAGCCAACUUCAAUCGCCUCUCACGGCCGCCACGGACCUCGAAUGACGACGGGACUACCACCAUCGGAUUCGCCUUGGUCGAAAUAGCUGGUAUAUGCACUUUUGAAAAAAUGCGUGCAAAAUGGUUUUGUGGUUUGGUGGCCGUGAGUCGAUUUUUUUGUUUUCCCAUACAAAUGAAUUUUGCGGAAAAUAAAAAGUGGCCCACGAGGCAGUCCUGGCGUGCGGCCCACUAAAACGGUCUCGGAGGGUAUAUGAGAAGGGAGCAAAUCCGGCCGAGCCUGAAAGGGUGAGGACAAACCGGGCGAGCAACCUCUCAGUAUCAGAUCUUGCAGACUUCCACUGCGUGUCCCUCUGUACAGCUUUGCAGGCUCCGGCCUCGGCAGCGGGGGGUUCAUAGUGGUCGUCGACCUCCACGAAACUGCACGCUCCGGCGUGACAGCGUACUGGGGAUGCCUGUGUAGAUGCAGUCCGGGCUUGCCUGGACCGCUAGCAGAUGGGCUCUGUGGAUGACUGGCCGCUGGCUAGACCUGAAACCUGAGCAACGGGAGGUAACCUCUCGCCGCGGACACCGGAAUGGUAGAAGCGGCGUGCUGCGUCCUCCUCUUGGGGCCCCUAAGCCACACCUCCCACAGCGGGUUCGGUGCGGCGGACGGACGCCCUGGGGAAUUUAGAGGGGGAAAGCGGAUUGCCCUAGCGGUGUUGUUGGCCCUGCCGACCUCACUGCGAAAGGCGCGACUUCACCGUCGCCACCCAGUAACUUUCUCUCC